GUGAGUCAUCGAAUCUUUGAACGCAUAUUGCACUUUCCGGCAAAUCCGGAGAGUAUGCCUGUUUGAGGGUCAGUAAAUAACAAAUUAUCACAAUCGUUGGUUGUGGAAUUGGGCCCUUAUUUCGAAUAGAUUUAUGGCCUUAAAUUUACGUCAUGUGUUAAUUCGAACCAAACGGAGCAAUUAUAAACAAUUCUCUCGUUAGACGGAUUACUCACAAGCCAUUACGAUUUUUUUGGACGACAAAAAGCACUUUCACGAGCGCGAAGCCCAAGAUCGUAAAUUCAUCCUGACAAAUGACCU
rnacentral:misc_RNA from 1 species